rnacentral:lncRNA from 1 species
AUGCUUGCACUGCUGUUGUUUUGCUAUUGAUGUCGUAUUGUUGUUUUGUUGCUACUGUAUUGCUAAUGUAGUGAUGUUGUGUUGGCAUUUUAGUGCUGUUGUAUUUUUAGUUUAUUAUGGUUUUAUUAUGGUUUUUGUAGCAGUUAUUGAUUGGUAUUUGGUGGCUUACUAUGGGUCUUUAUGACCAUUGCAUUUAACAUUCUUACAAGUCUAAUCGGUAUCUAUUUUCUUUGUUGAAGAUGAUAUCUAAAGUCUAAGACAAUUAACCUGUGUAUAUCAUUUUGAACUUGUAAACUCCCAACCAUAUCAUACUUUUUGUUUGAGAAUAAUGCUUGUUAAUUUGACAUAUUUUUU